UCUAGAGCGGGUUCUAGAGCAGGUUCUAGAUCGGGUUCUAGAGCGGUUCUAGAUUGGGUUCUAGAGCAGGUUCUAGAGCGGGUUCCGGAGCGGUUCUAGAGCGGGUUCUAGAGCGGGUUCCGGAGCGGGUUCCGGAGCGGGUUCCUGGGUUCUGGAGCUGGAGCUGGUUCUGAGAGCAUCUUGUCCCGAUCCCCGGGGUGGGUGGUUGGCAAUCCCUGGCUCUCUGAAGAGCCAAGGCAGAGUGAUGCUGUCACCUCCGAAUGACUCAGUAGCUAUAAAUCAGAGCAGGAAACCUCUAGCUCAGAGACAUAUCAUGAUGGAACCCAUCUGACUGGGCCAUCUUAUUCCUGCCCUAGGCAGGGUGGGUUCCUCUUAUCUGGGGCCUUUGUUUCUAUGGGAUCAAAACAAGCUCUGAGCUGCAGCUGUGAUUGAAACCAGCUUGGCCUUUCUGAACCUUUCUCUUCCUCGAGCUGGGGUUGGUGUGUGGCUCUCCAAGCCAGAAGGCUGAUGUCAGGAUUGCUUCAUUCAGCAACGCUGGGUAAGGGCUAAUAAACACCACUAAGAGCUUGCUAAUAGCUCUAAUUAGACUGCAGCUGAUGCUUCAUAAGUGGUUCUUUCCUCUUCCACCCCUUUCUUGCAGCUAUUUCCUGGUGGAGUUUAGGAAGGCGGUCUGGCACGGUUUUCUCAGGGCAGCCGUCUGCUUCUAGGCUGAGCUGAGACACGAUGUCUCUUCUGUACAUGAGCUGGCCUGAGCU